ensembl:lncRNA
ACCUGGAGUACUUGACUAGCAGAAAAACUUGACAUUCAAUCCUCUGUUAAAUGACCUGUUAGCCCGGUAUGCUACGAGCACAUUUUUGAUUGCUAGUCAGAAGAAAAUUCCAGAAGAAAGGCUGUAGCUAUUUUCUACUAUGACUCUAGUUGGUCUCUAAUUUGGACACAGAAAAGCUCCUUAAAGAGACACUCAACUUUUAUGAGUUAUUUUUGAGCUUUCGAUGUCUUUUCCCAGUCUUUACUGUUUGGAUCAUAUUUUAAAAUAUGACCGAGGAUCAUGCUAGAAGACCAAAUCCCUUCAAUUUACCAUCUUACUAAGAUUAGCUGAUUUUUUUCCCCUUCUGGGGAUUGACUUAGAGAGGCCAAAUUUUUGAAUAUCAAAACCGCUUUCUUUUUGAGCCAAAAAAAAUCUUGACUAGAGUUCUUUGGGAUCCUCAAAGACAUUGUAAAGUUUAUUUUUAUGAACAGUAGUUUGGGACCAUAGAUCAGAAGAAGAAAGAGCCCAUGACUUUUGUGUUUCCAGUUUUUAAUUUUUAAAUAGUAUGAAACAUAGGCAGUGUCUGAAAAGGUACCAGUAGUAUUUCAGGGGAUAGGAUCUUUACAUCGUGCACAUUUCUUGAGAAAAGAAUUAUCCCAGAAUAACUUUGUUUGGUGAAAGAAAGAAAUAGAUCUUCAGUGUAAUUUAGCAGCAAAGCUUCCAUUUAACUUUAAGAAUCAAACUUGUAGUUUUAGAGAAAUCAUCUUUCAGGCCUCUUUGAUGUCCUAAAUCUUUAUAUACGUCAUUUAAGAUUAGUUUAUCUUGCGAUACAGCAAAAGUUGAAAGUAAGCUUCUCCUCUGUUUACAGACAGAAGAGGAGGAGAUUUCACCCAGCUCGCUUCUUGCAAGCAGUCCUCUUUCUGUAAUGGUCAGCGUGUAGAAGCUCACCAACCAGGAACUGUGAGCCCAUCAUUCGGAUGCAUGGUGGUGUAUACCUUCAAUCCCGGCAUUUGGGAGACAGAGACAGGAAGAGCGUUUGGGUUACAGACGUGUGCACACAGCCUUUUACUCUGGGAUUGAAAUUAUGUAGUGAAGCUUGCACAGCUAGAAAUUUUAUCUGGUGAGUCAUCUCCCCAGUCCUCUAAAAUCCUCUAAAGAUGACUUAAAUAAGAAACUGAAGAGAUAGUUUAGUAAAUAAGAGAGCUUUUUGCUCUGCUUCUUAAAUUUUUGACCCAAGUUUAGCUCCCAGCACCCAUGCUCUCACAACUGCCUGUAACUGCAGCUCCAGGAGUCGUCCCCAAUGCCUUUAGCCUCUGCAGGCUUUUGCAUUUAAGUGUGUGCGUGCGCACACACACACACACACACACACACACACACACACAGAUACAUAUACACAAUUAAAGAUUAAAAACCAUAAAAAUAAAUUCUAACCUAAGGAACUUAGACAGAAGUUGUGACGUGGACCCUGAGGCAUUCUGACCCCAUCGUCCAGCAACAUUGAAGGCAACUAUGAGAGUGCCACUCUAGUCCAGUGUAAAGCUGCUCACAGAACCCCACCUUGUUCCAUGUAGGGUUUUUUGAUCCUGGCUUAUCUCAACAAUUUACCUUCUUAUUUUUUUUACAAGGUCAGAGCCCCUGACAUUCACAAUUAGCUUCCAAAUUAACUUAGAAAUGAUAGUAAGCUCUCAGCUAAAUGAUAGGGUGGCCACUAGGGAC